UCCACGCCGUAAACGAUGUCAACUAACUGUUGGGACCUUAAAGGUCUUAGUGGUGGAGCUAACGUAUUAAGUUGACCGCCUGGGGAGUACGGCCGCAAGGCUAAAACUCAAAUGAAUUGACGGGGGCCCGCACAAGCGGUGGAGCAUGUGGUUUAAUUCGAUGCAACGCGAAGAACCUUACCUACCCUUGACAUCCAGAGAAUCUGUUAGAGAUAGUAGAGUGCCUUCGGGAA
rnacentral:rRNA from 1 species